GAUCGCGUAGCUCAGUCGGAUAGAGCGCAACCCUGCGGAGGUUGAGGUCGCUGGUUCGAGUCCAGUCGCGAUCG
rnacentral:tRNA from 1 species